rnacentral:lncRNA from 1 species
CAGAGAAGGUGAGGACCAUGGCAGGUCGAACCCUAGCUCUUCGAUAUGGGCCCCCUUGGUCUCCCAUUUCUGAAACUGAGGUACUUGGAACCUGGCCCAACUGGCAUCUCACCAGCAGCGGGGUUGCCCACCACUGGAUCCCACCGGCGUCCUUUCCUCUGCCUACUCUCCAGUCUAUGGUCAAGGCACCCCUGCCUGCAGUCUCGAAAGUCAUCAGCAGAUGGGAAACCACCUCACAGUCUACAUACACCCCCAAGACACAUGGUGGCCCCUGUGCUCAGCCCAAGGCACCAGAGCACAAGGACCCCAGGCGGACACUUGGCAUCAAGUCUUUGGCAGAAAAGCUAAGAAGACAUGAGGGACGGGGUGUCCCCCUGAACACAAAAUGCCAGAUCAGUGAGACGAAGGCACAGUACAAGGGCUGGCCAGAUGUGGAUCAGAGUGCCCCCCUCUUUGCAGAGCCCCAGCCCCCAGAGCUCGCUGACCACCAUCGCGGGGGACCUUCUCAGGCCCUCAUCCCCUGGACGAAGAACCCUGAGAUGGCUGGCCAACCCUUCACAGUGAACAAGAUGGGCAUCCUGGAUCGGCUUCAACCCUAUCAGACCAUUACUGCAAGUGACUUCACAAGGUGAGCCUGUGCCCAGCAGGCGCUGGUGAGUAAACCCCUCUCCUUGGGAGUUCCAGCUGUGUAUGCAGAAACCACAGAACUGACCCAAGCUGAACUCUUCAGAUCCUCAGAGCCUCUUCCAAGGCAGCAACAAACCAGUUCUAGACCCCCUUGAGUCCCCUGGAAUCUGAACUCUGCUGCACUUGGACCUCCUCACCUGCUGCCCCGCCCACAGGAACGUGUCUGGAUAUCCCCACCAGAAACCGGUGAUGGGCCUGAGCUGGCCGAGGAAGGCAUCCCACCGGGAUCGGGCAAGUUUACCGAGGGUGCGCCCAGCCCGGCCACGCCCAUCGCAGCCGUACCUGGGAGCCCUGUCUCUGACCCGGGAGUCCUACGGACCCUUGGUGCACCCGCUCUGUGGAAUGGACCGAAUUUGCCCAGUACAUGCAUCGUGGGGCAGCCCCCAUCGGAAGCCAGUGCUGGGCCUUUACAGUGUACCCAAGGCCUACUGCACUGAGAAUUCCCGCUAUGGGAGUGCCAGGGCGGAGCUGCUGUGAGCCGGUGAAGCCCACCCACCACGCAAACUCCAUCAUUGGACUUGUGGGCGGGCCAACCCGGACACACCCCUUACUUCCAGAGUUCCUCCAGGCGCAAUUUACUGAUCAAGAAGUUUUAUAGCUGAAACCACACCUAUUUUUGGACCCAAUCCAGGCAUCCUGAUUAGGGGCUGGGAGACGGUGGUGCACCACCUCUGGUUGGAUUGAAAGCAAAUUUGGAGGCCCACUCGUCAGAACCUAAGGUUGAAGCUGUGCCCUCCUAUUUAGUUGUACCCAACCAUCAGAGUGGGUCUGAUGGACGUUUACUCCAGCAAUCUGGGGGUUCAGCGAGCAGCCUGCAGUGGCCUCCCCUUUACCUUGUUUCCCGUGCUUCCAAUGUCAGCUAAGCCCUGACACCUGGGCCGAGUGUGAGGCCAAUUCACUGGGACACUGGAGCUAGUCCCUGGCUUCCCUGACCUUGUCUGUGUCUCGCCCCCAAAGAGAUUAGUGUCUAGGUUACCCAAGCCUGUAGCCACUACUUAGUGGCCUUGCCACCCCCACAACCCGCAGGUAUAAAGCCAGGUGCCCAAGGUAGGGAAGGUAUCAAGAAUGGAGAGGCUCCAGGUAAGAUGGUAGGGCCCAGGGUACUUCCCAAUCCCACCAAACCCAUAGAUGGACAGCCUUGUGACCUGGGGGUUGGAGGAGGGAGAGGAGGGGGUCUCCUAGCUGGUGGACUUCAAACAGGAGAUAAACAGAUUUCAUGGCUGGUGAUGGGUCUUGAAGGACAGUUUCUGUAUUAUACUGAGUGGGUGCAGAACCUGGGAUGGAAAAACCAGGUCAGGGGUAGAGUGAGACACUGGCUAUGUCCCAGGGGCUGCUGCUGUGGCUGCUGCUGAGCCCAAGUGUGGUGUGGGCCUCCAGGGGCCCCCUUCGGCCACUGUGCCGGCCUGUCAACGCAACUCUGGCCGCAGAGAAUGAGUUCUGCCCAGUCUGCAUCACCUUCACCACCAGCAUCUGUGCCGGCUACUGUCCUAGCAUGGUCCGAGUACUGCCGGCUGCUUUGCCUCCUGUGCCUCAGCCAGUGUGCACCUACCGGGAGCUGCGCUUCGCAUCUGUCCGCCUCCCUGGCUGCCCACCGGGUGUAGACCCCAUAGUCUCCUUUCCUGUAGCCCUCAGCUGCCGCUGUGGGCCCUGCCGGCUCAGUAGCUCUGACUGUGGGGGUCCCAGGACUCAACCAAUGGCCUGUGACCUCCCCCACCUCCCCGGCCUCCUCCUCCUCUGAGGCCCACCCCUUCACCACCAGCAGGUGUUCUAAUCAUCCCUCCCUCCCUCCUUCCCAAUAAAGGCUUUCCAACUGC